rnacentral:rRNA from 1 species
CCUACGGGUGGCUGCAGUGAGGAAUAUUGGUCAAUGGCCGAGAGGCUGAACCAGCCAAGUCGCGUGAGGGAAGAAUGUCCUAUGGAUUGUAAACCUCUUUUGUCAGGGAGCAAAGUCACCCACGCGUGGGUGUUGGAGAGUACCUGAAGAAAAAGCAUCGGCUAACUCCGUGCCAGCAGCCGCGGUAAUACGGAGGAUGCGAGCUUUAUCCGGAUUUAUGGGGUUUAAGGGGUGCGUAGGCGGUUUAUAAAGUCAGCGGUAAAAGCGUGGAGCUCAACUCCAGCCAGCCGUUGAAACUGAUGGUCUUGAGUGGGCGAGAAGUAUGCGGAAUGCGUGGUGUAGCGGUGAAAUGCAUAGAUAUCGCGCAGAACUCCUAUUGCGAAGGCAGCAUACCGGCGCCCGACUGACGCUGAAGCACGAAAGCGUGGGUAUCGAACAGGAUUAGAUACCCGAGUAGUC